rnacentral:rRNA from 1 species
AACGAACGCUGGCGGCAUGCCUAACACAUGCAAGUCGAACGAGACCUUCGGGUCUAGUGGCGCACGGGUGCGUAACGCGUGGGAACCUGCCCUUAGGCUCGGAAUAACUCCCCGAAAGGGGUGCUAAUACCGGGUAAUGUCUUCGGACCAAAGAUUUAUCGCAUUUGGAUGGGCACGCGUUGGAUUAGCUAGUUGGUAGGGUAAAAGCCUACCAAGGAGACGAUCCAUAGCUGGUCUGAGAGGCUCAUCAGCCACACUGGGACUGAGACACGGCCCAGACUCCUGCGGGAGGCAGCAGUGGGGAAUAUUGGACAAUGGGCGGAAGCCUGAUGCAGCAAUGCCGCGUGAGUGAUGAAGUCCUUAGAGUUGUAAAGCUCUUUUACCCGGGAUUAUAAUGACAGUACCGGGAGAAUAAGCUCCGGCUAACUCCGUG